GCUAAGCUUCACACCUAUGACCAUGUGCACAACUGACUGCAAACCGGGAGAGCCUUCCUGGCAGACUCGCAUCUCAAAGGGCAUCUCGGGAAAGGAUCGACAGGAAGAGGUUACAGGCCACAAGUUUGGGAAAUUUCUGGACAGCAAAAGGGACAGGCCUUGCUUUACUGCCAAGUCAGCUCAUAUGAAAGGACAGCUUGUCUCUUUAUAGACGUCCCAGAGCAGGGACGUCAAACAGUUUCGAAACAGUUCUUAGGAAAGGGCCAAAAUGUUGCAUAAAGUUGAAAACCAAUUUUGCAGCCCAAGGCCCAAAACUAAUACUGAAUCCUCUCCCAGGGUCUUAGAAACUCUGUCUCCCUGGAAAGGGAAGCCUGCACCUUUGUGCUCUGUGGACCUGAUGCCUUCCUCUUUGAGAGGAGCUAGAAGUGCUUCGUUUUCAGCCAGCAGACAAAGGAAGGGAGGAGUCCCUAGACACAUACGUGCUGCAUCAGCUUCCCUUCCAAUCGCCAAAUAUCCUGUCCCACGGACGUGAGUUUGUACCGAACCUCAUGCAUAGUUUUAACUCAGUUGAUGCCUCGGAGACAGUACGAGUGGAGGAAGGACAAGAGAGGUGCCUCCUGCCAUAAAGAAAGGUUCUUGGUCUUUAUAUUCAAAGUGUGGUCCAAGGAUCUGCGGGAGCAGCAUCACCUGGGAGCUUGUUAGAGAUGGAUCUUGGGCGUCCAUCUCAGCGCGGCGCACAGAGGAUUUUUAGGGCCAUGAAAAUACUCUGUAUGAUACUAUAAUGAUGGGUAUAUGUCAUUAUACAUUUGUCCAAACCCACAGAAUGUGCAUCAUCCAGGGGGAGAAUGAAAGGGUAAACUAUGGCUCUCAGGUGAUUGUAUGUUAAUCUAGGUUCAUCCACCGUAACAAGCACACUGCCUGAGUGAGUGAUGGGGUGGAGGCUAUCUAUGCAUGUGUGGGACCAGGAGGUAUAUGGGAAAUAUCUGUACCUUCCUCUCUAUUUUGCUUUAAACCUAAAUAUCUCUCUAAAAAAAAAAUAGCAAGUACUUUUUAAAAAUGAGGCCCCCAGCUGCUCUGGGAGGAAGGACUCCUCAUGGUGGGAGUUGUGUGAAAUCCUGGAAGAAGCACAGAGGCGGGUACAGGCCCUGGAGUGAGUCUGUCUGAGUUCAAAUCCUGCCCUCUUUAUUGUUAGUUCUACAGCCUCAGUGUCCUAUUCUGUAAAAUGGGGAAAAUGAUGACAAUAAUGGAAUUCAGUUUCCAGGGUUGUUGCAAGGGUUAGAUGAAACAAGACACACAGAGCAUUUAGGAAAGCACCCAGCAUAGUGAGAACACCAUAAACGUUCCCUUUCAGUAUUUUUAAGAGGAAGUGCUUUGUCCUUUAGACACCCAACAAAAGUGCUGAAACCUCGGUGGUUCUUUCCCUGCGCUUCCUUUUCCGCUGCAGAAGGCACAGCGAGGGAUUUUUAACUACCCGUGACGGUCCGUGCUCAGCGUGGACAGUGUAGCCAGUUCUAGGAAGCUCAUCCAGCUCAGCUGGGGACCAGAAUCACCAAUCGAUUCGCCCAAGAUGAGCCAGCCAGCGCAGGGCAGAAAGAUCAGAUCUCAGCCGCCCUGAAAUACAGAAGGGAUAUUGCCUGAGCACAUACCACGCGCUGCGUGUUAUGCCGAGUGCGAUGGAAACAGUAAAGAAUAAGAGAAAGGUAGAUCAGCCUUCGUGGAAAUUACAAUCUGGAUGAAAAACCACCACAAAUGAGAACUCUGAAGAACGAAGAGAAAGAACGCCCACAUUUACAUCCUACCCUUCCCAAAACUCUACUAAGAUAAUGAAAUUACAGUGAUGAUAACGAACACGCAUCAAGAUGUGUCAACACGGAUAUAAAUGUUCCGCAGGGAAGAUAACAUUAAAGUGUAAUAGGGAAGAACAAA